rnacentral:rRNA from 2 species
ACGGGAGGCAGCAGUGAGGAAUAUUGGUCAAUGGCCGAGAGGCUGAACCAGCCAAGUCGCGUGAAGGAAGAAGGAUCUAUGGUUUGUAAACUUCUUUUAUAGGGGAAUAAAGUGGAGGACGUGUCCUUUUUUGUAUGUACCCUAUGAAUAAGCAUCGGCUAACUCCGUGCCAGCAGCCGCGGUAAUACGGAGGAUGCGAGCGUUAUCCGGAUUUAUUGGGUUUAAAGGGUGCGUAGGUGGUGAUUUAAGUCAGCGGUGAAAGUUUGUGGCUCAACCAUAAAAUUGCCGUUGAAACUGGGUUACUUGAGUGUGUUUGAGGUAGGCGGAAUGCGUGGUGUAGCGGUGAAAUGCAUAGAUAUCACGCAGAACUCCGAUUGCGAAGGCAGCUUACUAAACCAUAACUGACACUGAAGCACGAAAGCGUGGGGAUCAAACAGGAUUAGAUACCCUGGUA